rnacentral:rRNA from 1 species
CAGCCGCCGCGGUAAUACGGAGGGCGCGAGCGUUACCCGGAUUUACUGGGCGUAAAGGGCGUGUAGGCGGCCUGGGGCGUCCCAUGUGAAAGGCCACGGCUCAACCGUGGAGGAGCGUGGGAUACGCUCAGGCUAGAGGGUGGGAGAGGGUGGUGGAAUUCCCGGAGUAGCGGUGAAAUGCGCAGAUACCGGGAGGAACGCCGAUGGCGAAGGCAGCCGCCUGGUCCACUUCUGACGCUGAGGCGCGAAAGCGUGGGGAGCAAACCGGAUUAGAUACCCCAGUAGUCCCUGUCUCUUAUAA